CGGAGUGGGCUAGGCACUUCCUACGGGAGGCAGCAGUGGGGAAUAUUCCACAAUGGGGGAAACCCUGAUGGAGCAACGCCGCGUGAAGGAUGAAGGUCUUCGGAUUGUAAACUUCUGUUAUGAGGAAGAAUAUGACGUAACCUCAGAAGAAGCCCCAGGC
rnacentral:rRNA from 1 species